GAGGAUGAUCAGCCACACUGGAACUGAGACACGGUCCAGACUCCUACGGGAGGCAGCAGUGGGGAAUAUUGCACAAUGGAGGAAACUCUGAUGCAGCAACGCCGCGUGGAGGAUGACGCAUUUCGGUGUGUAAACUCCUUUUAUAUAGGAAGAUAAUGACGGUACUAUAUGAAUAAGCACCGGCUAACUCCGUGCCAGCAGCCGCGGUAAUACGGAGGGUGCAAGCGUUACUCGGAAUCACUGGGCGUAAAGCGCGCGCAGGCGGCCUUGUAAGUUGGAUGUGAAAGCCUACGGCUCAACCGUAGAACUGCAUCCAAAACUACUAGGCUAGAGUGUGGGAGAGGAAGAUGGAAUUAGUUGUGUAGGGGUAAAAUCCGUAGAGAUAACUAGGAAUACCAAAAGCGAAGGCAAUCUUCUGGAACAUUACUGACGCUGAGGCGCGAAAGCGUGGGGAGCAAACAGGAUUAGAUACCCUGGUAGUCCACGCCCUAAACGAUGAAUGUUAGUCGUCGGGUAGCUAGUCUAUUCGGUGAUGCAGCUAACGCAUUAAACAUUCCGCCUGGGGAGUACGGUCGCAAGAUUAAAACUCAAAGAAAUAGACGGGGACCCGCACAAGUGGUGGAGCAUGUGGUUUAAUUCGAAAAUACGCGAAGAACCUUACCUAGCCUUGACAUAUUUAAGAACACUUUAGAGAUAGAGUGGUGCCUUCGGGAGCUUUUAUACAGGUGCUGCACGGCUGUCGUCAGCUCGUGUCGUGAGAUGUUGGGUUAAGUCCCGCAACGAGCGCAACCCUCGUCACUAGUUACUAACGGUUCGGCCGAGGACUCUAGUGAGACUGCCUUCGCAAGGAGGAGGAAGGUGAGGACGACGUCAAGUCAUCAUGGCCCUUACGGCUAGGGCAACACACGUGCUACAAUGGCCAGGACAAUGAGACGCGAUACCGCGAGGUGGAGCAAAUCUAUAAACCUGGUCUCAGUUCGGAUUGUAGUCUGCAACUCGACUACAUGAAGCUGGAAUCACUAGUAAUCGUAGAUCAGCUAUGCUACGGUGAAUACGUUCCCGGGUCUUGUACUCACCGCCCGUCACACCAUGGGAGUUGAUUUCACCCGAAGCGGGGAAGCUAAACUGGCUACCCUCCACGGUGGAAUCAGCGACUGGGGUGAAGUCGUAACAAGGUAACCGUAGGAGAACCUGCGGUUG
rnacentral:rRNA from 1 species